AUGUUCCGACCUGCACGAAUGGCGUAACGACUUCCCCACUGUCUCCAGGAUAUGCUCAGCGAAAUUGAAUUCUCCGUGAAGAUGCGGAGUACCCGCGGUUAGACGGAAAGACCCCGUGCACCUUUACUGCAGCUUCAGAGUGGCAUUAGGAAAGAGUUGUGUAGCAUAGGUGGGAGGCUUUGAAACUUGGGCGCCAGUCCGAGUGGAGCCAUAGGUGAAAUACCACCCUGCUGUUUUCUGAUGUCUAACCAACUACCGUUAUCCGGUAGUGGGACCCUCUGUGGCGGGUAGUUUGACUGGGGCGGUCGCCUCCUAAAGAGUAACGGAGGCGCGCGAUGGUAGGCUCAGGCCGGUUGGAAACCGGCUGCGAGAGUGCAAUGGCAUAAGCCUGCCUGACUGCGAGACCGACAGGUCGAGCAGAGACGAAAGUCGGUCAUAGUGAUCCGGUGGUCCCUCGUGGAAGGGCCAUCGCUCAACGGAUAAAAGGUACGCCGGGGAUAACAGGCUGAUACUGC
rnacentral:rRNA from 1 species